UACAGAGGUCCCAAGCGUUGUUCGGAUUCACUGGGCGUAAAGGGUGCGUAGGCGGUCGGGUAAGUCUGACGUGAAAUCUUCAAGCUCAACUUGGAAACUGCGUCGGAUACUAUUCGGCUAGAGGAAUGGAGGGGAGACUGGAAUACUUGGUGUAGCAGUGAAAUGCGUAGAUAUCAAGUGGAACACCAGUGGCGAAGGCGAGUCUCUGGACAUUUCCUGACGCUGAGGCACGAAAGCCAGGGGAGCAAACGGG
rnacentral:rRNA from 4 species